AUGAUUGCGAAUGGUCGCCUUCGGUGCUGGCUCUCUUGCAAGUGCACGUUGGCGGCUUUCAUCCAAUACCCUUGUGAACCUUUGGCCUCCAGUGUGCUAGCUUCGGCUGGCGGAGGAUUUUUACACACUCUCGAAUGUAAUGAACACUAUUAUCGUGCGCAAGCACUAAUGUA
rnacentral:misc_RNA from 1 species